rnacentral:rRNA from 1 species
UACGGAGGUGGCAAGCGUUGCUCGGAAUCACUGGGCGUAAAGGGCGCGUAGGCGGGGAGGUAAGUCGGGUGUGAAAUCCCUCGGCCCAACCGAGGAACUGCGCCCGAGACUGCUUCUCUUGAGUCCCGGAGAGGAAGAGUGGAAUUCCCGGUGUAGCGGUGAAAUGUGUAGAGAUCGGGAGGAACACCGGUGGCGAAGGCGGUCUCUGGACGGUGACUGACGCUGAGGCACGAAAGCGUGGGGAGCAAACAGGG